AAAUGUAGAUGCAAGGAAGCCAGACCAGUAGCCGGAGCUUCCGACCCCAUGGACCCAAGAAAGAGAGCCCUCACCCAAGUCAGAGGGUGAUGCCCCUCUCCCAGUGAACACAAAGACAGUAGGGUUCUCUGAAGACCUUCAGCAAAAAGCCAGGUUACAAGACUUCUUCCUCUUGGACAGAAGGGUUCUCACACACCAGCCUGCAUCAGUCACCUGAGGGCCGGGUCAGCACAGAGGCUGGUCCCACCCCCAGAGCUUCUGAUCCAGGUCUGAGUGGGACCUGAGAGUGUGCAUGUUUAACAAGCUUUCAGGUGAUACUGAUACUGCUGGUCUGGGGACCACACCUGGAGAACCACGGAGCUCCAACCUGGGGUGGCUGCAAUGUUUUGCUUCCUCUAGGUGGAUUCUUUACCAGCUGAGCCACAAUGGAAGCCCUCUUUAGGGGAGGGAGCUGGGAAAGCUUUAGGACCAUCAUAGCCAAGUUCGGGGCAGCCUAUUCACUGCUGGUGAGGGUUCAUCCUCUAUGAUCCAGAAGCUCCGUGGGGAAGAGGCAGGGCAGGACCUGCAUUGAUCUCGGAAAACUGAAGUCAGAAGUCAACACCUCCUCUGUCUAGGAUGAAGGGCAGGUGCUACCUUCUGGACGGGCCCACAUGGCAAGGAGAAUCCAGGUGCUGGUCCUUUAUAUAAGCACCCAGAGCCCUGUGAGCCCUGCAGCCAUCUCCCAGCAACACCUCCUUUGCCACCUCAGAACUCCCACCCAGAACGCCUCUAAGAGCUCAGGCUCAAUCAUAACAACCCCAAAAGUGACCCCAGCACACCUCAGAUCCUGCAAGUGCAAAUGCUUGUAAAGGUGCCUGGGGUUGGAGGGUGAAAGGCUGGAAGAUGAAAAACAUCUUUGCUACCUUCCUUUCCCAAAGACUCCUGAGUUACAGGCAGGGAGCCCUGAGGGAAAGGGGUGCUGCUCUGGCUCCAUGUCCUCGGGAGUUCCCUGCACUGAGUCCUUGAAAGUGAUCCCUUCUUCUGGGGGAAAAGGCAUUAUGGUGAUUUAACCCGGUCUCAACUGAAUUCCCUGGUCCUGAGCAUGUGGCUGCCUCCAGAGAAGUUAGGUUGUUACAUUGGGCCUAUCAUUUCCAUCUAUUGAGAUGAUUUCCAAAGCCAGCUCAGACUUGCUGACUUGUCCCUGGCUAGGACACACCUCUGCAGGAUCCAACCUUGUCUCUCUGUCCUCAUCUGCGGCCCAGGUGGUGAAGAUGCAGAGGCCAGGAUGUGGUUCUGUGGCUCACCACAGUGGCCUUCCCACCGCAUGGACCCAUCCACUAACACAUCUGAGAUGCUCAGCCACCUACAAACCACUUAAACCCACCCUCUUGCAGCCCACGUCCCUGCAUUCUCCCACGAGACCGACUUCAUGGGAGGCUCUGCCAACACAAGGAGAGAUGAGAGGCGAGACACUGGACGGAGCUGAGCAGACGUGGCCGGAUUUGACUCAUGUGGUUCCUCAGAUCACAGGCGUGUGGGGAGGCCAAGGGCAGCGCAGAGAGGCCACUCAGGAGGCCACAGCAGCACUGGCCUCAGCUUAACCAUCGCUUCUAGAACUUUGGCAGAGAUGCACACUAAUGUGCCCGUUUCCUAAGUCUAUCCUCUCCCCCAUUUUUGAAAAUCAAAGCCUCACUUACUUUUUUGCAGGCUCCUGACCCCUCUCAUUCUCCCUGUGACUCUUCACGGCAGCUCACUAGGUCAAGACUCCAUCAUCAAGUCUGCUAGUUCUGCCAGAGCCUGCCUCAUAACAGAGACUGGAAUUUACGCAAGGUAGUGAGGGAUGAUCUUCACUGGCCUUAAUUCCAUCUUAAUUAUGUUUGCCAUUCAAGCACGUUAGUCAUUCCAAGGGAGAAACAGCAGAGGCGGGAG
ensembl:lncRNA